rnacentral:rRNA from 1 species
AACGAACGCUGGCGGCAUGCCUAACACAUGCAAGUCGAACGAUGCUUUCGGGCAUAGUGGCGCACGGGUGCGUAACGCGUGGGAAUCUGCCCUUGGGUUCGGAAUAACAGUGAGAAAUUGCUGCUAAUACCGGAUGAUGUCUUCGGACCAAAGAUUUAUCGCCCAGGGAUGAGCCCGCGUAGGAUUAGCUAGUUGGUGGGGUAAUGGCCUACCAAGGCGACGAUCCUUAGCUGGUCUGAGAGGAUGAUCAGCCACACUGGGACUGAGACACGGCCCAGACUCCUACGGGAGGCAGCAGUGGGGGAUAUUGGACAGUGGGCGCAAGCCUGAUCCAGCAAUGCCGGGUGAGUGAUGAAGGCCUUAGGGUUGUAAAGCUCUUUUACCCGGGAUGAUAAUGACGGUACCGGGAGAAUAAGCUCCGGCUAACUCCGUG